rnacentral:lncRNA from 1 species
UAGGUGUCAUCUUUAGAGCAAAGAUAAGUGGCAUCAACCUUAGGUUAGCUAGUGACACAUGUCCACUAUAUUUUUUUUUUCUUUUUUUUUUAACUUAAAUCUGAAUCUUUCAUAAAUUAUAUCAAACUUCUAAUAUUUACUCUUAGGUCCCUAGCCAUAAACUUUUAAUAUAUUAUCAUUGAAUAUAAAAUAAUUAUUAAAUAAUCUUUAUUUUUUA